rnacentral:rRNA from 1 species
UACGUAGGGUGCGAGCGUUGUCCGGAAUUACUGGGCGUAAAGAGCUCGUAGGUGGUUUGUCGCGUUGUUCGUGAAAACUCACAACUCAAUUGUGGGCGUGCGGGCGAUACGGGCAGACUGGAGUACUGCAGGGGAGACUGGAAUUCCUGGUGUAGCGGUGGAAUGCGCAGAUAUCAGGAGGAACACCGGUGGCGAAGGCGGUCUCUGGCAGUGAACUGACGCUGGAGGAGCGAAAGCGUGGGGAGCGAACAGG